UACGUAGGGGGCGAGCGUUGUCCGGAAUCAUUGGGCGUAAAGAGCGUGUAGGCGGCCCGAUAAGUCUGGUGUGAAAUCUUGAGGCUCAACCUCAAGCUGUCAUCGGAUACUGUCGGGCUAGAGUCCGGAAGAGGAGAGUGGAAUUCCUGGUGUAGCGGUGGAAUGCGCAGAUAUCAGGAAGAACACCAAUGGCGAAGGCAGCUCUCUGGGACGGUACUGACACUGAGACGCGAAAGCGUGGGGAGCGAACAGG
rnacentral:rRNA from 1 species